ACCAGAUGACAGCCAGCAAAAAAUGGUCAUCUCAGUCCUACAAGCACAAGUGAUUGGAUUUUGCCAAUAACUAAAUUUAUGAGGCCCUCUUCAUAAAACAUGAACUUUGAAAUGGUUUCUCCAACUCUCCUACUGAAGUCAUUAAAUCUUCAUGUAAGGCAUACUUUUCCUAUACCCAGAGGAAAGGCAAAUCCUUAUCAUCAAAGAAAGAGAUGCCAAGAGAUGUCAGGAUUCUUCCUGACUUACAGGGCUUCCUAAGUCCCACUCCCACCCCUUUCCUGCUACUGUUUACUGUAAUGACCUUAUACUCCUAACCUGUCAUAUUCCUUCAUGACUGUCCAUUCUUCAUCAAACCGAGAAUAAAAUACUCAGAUUUAACUGCUUCUUUGGAUCAUCAUUUCCUUAUGAAGGCCCCUGUGUCACACAAAAUUUGUGUUUUCUCCUCUUAAUUUGACUUUUCUCCUAUUAUUAGCUUAUUCUUCAGACUCAGCCAUGGACAUUAAG
rnacentral:lncRNA from 1 species